CCUACGGGUGGCAGCAGUGGGGAAUAUUGCACAAUGGGCGAAACCCUGAUGCAGCGACGCCGCGUGAGUGAUGAAGUAAUUCGGUACGUAAAGCUCUAUCAGCAGGGAAGAAAAAAAGUCCUUUGGACUUUGGACGGUACCUGACUAAGAAGCCCCGUCUACCACCGUGCCAGCAGCCGCGGUAAUACGGAGGAUGCGAGCGUUAUCCGGAUUUAUUGGGUUUAAAGGGUGCGCAGGCGGACUUUUAAGUCAGCGGUAAAAUCGUGGGGCUAAACCCCAUCCAGCCGUUGAAACUGGGGGUCUAGAGUGUGAGAGAGGUAUGCGGAAUGCGCGGUGUAGCGGUGAAAUGCAUAGAUAUCACGCAGAACGCCGAUUGCGAAGGCAGCAUACCGGUGCAAAACUGACGCUGAGGCACGAAAGCGUGGGUAUCGAACAGGAUUAGAUACCCUGGUAGUC
rnacentral:rRNA from 1 species